ACAGCUUCUGAAAAACUUCUCUGAGAGACAGAUGACAAGUGCCUUCUGUCCUCUAUUCUUUAUUCGUUUUUGUACUUCACAUGCUGCCUAGGGCCACACCCUUUUGGUGGUGAGUGGGGAGCUGGAAGGAGCCAGGUUCUUGAGGACUUUAUAGGAGAAGAAAAGCAACUCGGAGAUAAGAAACUCCACACCCUUUUGAGGAGAGAACUUGACAUCUGAAUUUUCAUGUUUGUGUUCUUUGAACAAACAUCAUUAAAGCAUACCAAAUCUACACCCAGUAAAAGUUUUGGAUGAAGACAGACAAAAAUGUGAAUGGACUACAAUGGAAGAUGCACAGACAUAUAUUAACCAGCACAUCAGGAAAUAGAGUUCAACCAAGUUGGAAGGUCGGCCUUGGAAGACACUGAGUUCCUGACCCUGGAGGACAGGCUGUGUUCAUUCAGGACCUGGAGGUUUUCAAACUCUCUCAAUGCCCUGCUGCUGCAUUUGAACUGUAUACAAGUCCACUUCCUGUGUCUUUGAAGAGGAAAUUUCUCAUCUGCUAUCAAGG
rnacentral:lncRNA from 1 species